UACGGAGGGGGCAAGCGUUGUUCGGAAUUACUGGGCGUAAAGAGCUCGUAGGCGGUUUGUUGCGUCGGCUGUGAAAUCCCGAGGCUCAACCUCGGGUCUGCAGUCGAUACGAGCAAACUAGAGUGUUGCAGGGGAGACUGGAAUUCCUGGUGUAGCGGUGAAAUGCGCAGAUAUCAGGAGGAACACCGGUGGCGAAGGCGGGUCUCUGGGCAACAACUGACGCUGAGGAGCGAAAGCGUGGGGAGCGAACAGG
rnacentral:rRNA from 1 species